UUUUUAAAUGUGUUUUACAGUGCACCUUUUGUAUGUUUUUACAUUCAUAUAAAUAUUCAUACAUAGAUUUAUUCUUCUAACUAGCUAGCUUUUAAACAUUUUUUAUUGGGGUUUUUUGCACCGAUAUACAGCACUUGUAUCAAUGAGAAAUACAAUUGCCUUUUAUGUACAUAAAACAAACAAAAAAAGGAACCUUCACAGUGCUACACCUUACCAGAAUCUCCAGAAUUAAAGCUACAGUAGGUAACUUUUAUAAAAGUCCUAAGGCUCCUCCUAGUGCUCCUAAUGGUAUUUGCAAGAACCCACCGGGCCUGAAUGAAAACAACCAAUCAGAGCCGAGAAAGAUAGUUGAUUGUUGAGUCUCAUUCCCAGGGGAUCAAAUACAGAUGCUUUGUCUGUUGGAUUUUUGCAAAUGCCAUUAGGAGCACUAGGAGGAGCCAGAGGAACCUGAUUUUUUCCACAGAUUAUCUGUCUCGUGUACUACUGUCAGGAUAUAGGGAAAGUUUCAGAAAUAAUGACAAAAAGUUGUUUUUAUCAAAGUUACCUACUGCAGCUUUAAAUUAUUAGUUAAGGAUAUCUGAAAACAUAUUCGUAUUCAUACCGUACUCAAGAAAGGGGCCCCAGACGUUGUCAGAUGCAUUGGACCUUCCUUGGAGAGACAGUAAAGCACGUCCCAAAUGUGACGGGGGUGCAGGAGAUUUCCGUUUUAUCAGGAACAGUCUUGAUCUGUGUUUUUUGGCAUAAUUGUCCUGUAGUCUUAACACAAACAAUAAACACAAGAAGAAAAGCUGAAUAUGAGCAUUAGUCCAGGCAGCAUGUUUGGCUAUCAGAUGUGAACAUCUGUCUUCUUAUAUCCGUAAAGGGAUUUGAGGUUAGUUCCAGUCCACUGGGAUUCCACUCUAACUUCUAAUGAACCUCAGCAUCAUUCUACUGAGAAAAAACAAGUUUUUAGACAUCUUGAUGGAUUUAUAUUUUUAGUCUUAGUUUCUGUUGAUGAUUGAAAUUCACUUCAUUCAGUUAGUAAAUUAUAUUUGUUGUCACUUUAUUAUUCAAAUAGAUCAUCUGAUGAAGUAAUUUAGUCCUCAGGACAAAACAAUGAUGUUGCCUUGUACUCUAUACAUACACUACAUACAACCAACAGUCAACUCUCAUACAGAUUUUGUAGAACUCUAGAUAGAUAGAUAACUCGUUGUCAGUUGUAAACAUAGACUGUAUAAUUAAAAAUGGCCAUAGUCUUCUUGACGUCACUCAUAGGUAAGAGCCAUUAUGAAGCUCAGUGUGGCCAAUCCAAAACGAGCAAAGAAAUGAAGUGUGGGUGGAGCUAAGACGGUCUGAAUAAUGCCUGGUUACUGAAAACAGCCACCUGUGGAAACCCGCAUGUCAUUCAAAGUGGUAACACCAUUAAUUAUGCAUAGGGGAGUUCUAUACAAAUUCACCCCCUGUACAGUUGUCAUGAAUGGGAAAUUAGCUAUAGAGACCAAAAGUGUUUUUGGUACCAGGCUGUAAACAUGUUUAUUUCUGCUGUAAAGUUGGACAUUUUAAUAUAGGUCACUUCUGGAGUCAGCCUUAGGUGGAACUGUAGCUUGUGUUAUUUCCAUGUUUGCUUCAUUUGCCAGCUUGGUUGUAUUUGGAAAAUCCUCAAGAGAUAGUGUGGCAAUGAAGUGAAACAAAAUGGUAAUACAGUCUGAUAUCAGCUUAAUAUCAAGCUUAUAGCCCUUCUGUGUAGAAUGUUUUAUUUUUUUUUACUUUGGCAGUAUGCUGCUACCUCCCCCACAUUGAUCCAACCCAAAAAGCAAAACAUAGACUGCACAAAAUUUAACCAGGAUUGUUUCUCGACAAAACUUCAUCCAGAUAAAGUAGUUGGUAGAUGCAAUAAUUACAAAUUCUACACACGAUGGCUGCCUUAAAUGGUUUUUUAACAGGCUGUGCAGGGGAUGGGUCAAGGACUCCAGUCAUUUGACUUUAUGUCAACAUUCAAAAUAUACUCAUCAUGUGUAUCAAAAUCCAAAAUGGCAGUAUACGUGAACAAAAAUGUUGUCUGUGAGGUAAACAUUAUGUUUCAUGUUUAAUAUAUUUUGGGUGGACUUGGUUUCAGACAAUGAUUUUAUGAUGUUCUUGUUGAAAAGUAAUGAAUGGAAACUAAAGGAAAUAUCACAAGGUAAACAAAAUAUCAGAAUUCUUCAACUACUACUGCCACCUCACACUACUUCAACCUUUGCUUCUAAGAAUGAACAAAUCUUAUUCUCAUGGCCACAAAAGAGUGCUUGUCAGGGAAAUCUUGUUUGAAUAAUCAACCAAUGCUACCGGUAUGGACAAGACAAAUAUAGUGAGUAUUAAGCCAUUCUCUGUGGCUUUUUUACAUCAACUCUGUGUGUCAUCUCCCUGGUUCUGCCAUCUCUUUGACUUUGGUAUCAUUCCCUCUGGAGUAUCUUGUCCUUAUGAAGUUGCUCCCAUCUUCCUCCUACUCCCUCCUACUUGUUAACAUCAAAUGGGAGAACCUCUAGCUUUGGCUCUCUCUGCCCUAGAGCAGGGCGACAUUUCACUGGUGACAGGAGAAUAACACUUGCUGUGUUGACGUGACGAAUUAGUGUGAGCGUUUACUAUAUAACUGUAAGCCUGUUCAAAGCUUUGAUUAUAGCAAUCUGUUUAUGAUCUACUACGGGAAGUCAGCUCAUAAAAAUACACAAGGGGUGCAUGGUAUCCGAUUCUGAAGCAUUUUCACGAUUUGAUUUGAGUUCAGCCGACACAUUGAAGAGGCAUGUUUAAGCAACAAAUGGAUGAAAGAAGCCAACACGUGUACACCAUUAAUAAUAUUGCAGGGUGUACAUUUUGAGAGGCAGUCAAGAAUCUGACAUUUUUGAGAAAGCAUGAUGUACAGACCUUUUAAGGCGCAAGGUGCUCAGAGUGUCUCAGUAAUAGCAAGUGUGGGGAGAUAAUUGACUCCACUAAGGGCAUCUAAAAAGCACUCUGAGAUGAGAGCUGUAUUUAAGGAAAGUUUUAUUAUCUGCUUUUAAAUGCCAAGCCAUGCACCGUUUUUGCCUGUGGGGGGGGGGAUGUUUUUUAAAUGCCAGCAUUAAGUGCAGAAUAUUACCUGAUCGCUGCGACUGACUUUCAGCUGCUGGCAAAGAUAGCUUGCGGUCAACUCCUCUGCCUGACCGCCUGCUACAAAGAAUAGUACAGGAAGUGAUUUGUCAAAGCUCCCUGCAGACACCGCUCUUAUCUGAGAGGAAGAUGUAUGCCAUCUAAGGGGAGUGGUACGCAGGAAGUGUCAGGGAGUAUCUUACAGUAUGCAAUGCUGACCACAGUUUUAGUUAAAUGUUUGAAAACUGGCCUGUUUGUGUGUUGCAAGAUUUCAGAGUUUUCCUCGAAAUAAGUAAAACGCAAGCAAGAUACAUCAAACAUCAAGGUCUCGGUCAUACCAAGUCUCAUCUGUCCAUGUCUGAAGAUGAAAGCUGCAGUAGGUAACUUUUAUUUAAAAUAACUUUUUGUUAUUUUUGCUGAAACUUUCACGAUAUCCUGACAGUAGUACACGAGACAGAUAAUCAGCGAAGUUCAGUUCCUCUGGCUCUUUCUAGAGCUCCUUAUGGUAUUUGCAAGAAUCCACCAGGCCUGAAUGAAAACAACCAAUCAGAGCCAAGAAAAAUAGAAAGAUGCUAGACUAGACUGGACAGUUGAUGUAGUUGGAAGCUUGAAGAUAGCUGAUUGUUGAGUCUCACUCAAGGGUCCCAAAGCUUCUGCGUUUGACGACCUGGGAAGGAGCCUCAACAUUUUUUUUUUCGGCCCCAAGAGAGAAAUACUGAAAUUUCCCAACUUCUUUCUCAAAAUACUAACUCCUUUUUUUCCACAAAGAUCAAUUUUAAUCUGAUUCUAUAAAAUUGUCUGCCAUUACGGAGAUGAUCAAUUUUACUUUUGAUUAAUGAAAUAAUUAAUUUAGACAGACAUUAUGACUUAUGUUCAGCUACAACUGAUGUAUCUGUCCUACAAAGAACACUUUCAGUCAACAAAGAAGCAGUGGUAGGAGUUUUUAGGAACAGUUUCACAGCGAUCAAAUAAAUAUGACGAUUGGCCUGUACUGCUGCAUCCAUUUCAUUCAAGCUUGUCGCGCUCUUUGGGCCACUUUGUUUUGCCAUUAAUUUUGAUGGAUCUAUCUCAGUAGCUAGCUAUAUGUAGCAAAAUGACAUCCCCAUUCUAUAUCUGGCUACACAAAGCUCUGCUUGGGUGAUGUUUCCUCCAAAAAAACAGCCAUCAGUGAGCAAAAAAGUUUUCAGUCACUUGACAAAUCAGAGGUUUUGGUGGUGAUUCAGUGGUCUUAAACCAGGCUAUUAUGGGAUUGUUCUGUCAUACAUAGACUGCGUUUCUCUUAUUAUCUGGGAUCUGUCUGUGCAGUCCUGAUUAACAAUAUAAUACCAGUACCUUUCUGAUGAUAAUUUGUCCCUGCGAUUUGCUUGCAUUGUUGAGAUGUUUGUAGGGGCGGUAGUCAUUACAGAGGAGCUGCUGGUUUACAGUGUUGCAGGAGAAUGCUGGAGCUGAGUGUUGGUGCUGUUGCAGACAGGUUUCUGUUGUGCAAAGGGGCAAUAAAAGGCUUUAUUAGACAGGCUUGAGUUCAUUAUAGACGCUGUGUUUCUCUCUGCCUGCUUGGCUUAGAUAAACCUCGCUCUGACCAAGGCCACAUCCCUCCCGCUGUCGCUGCAGGCCCUCACCGAAUUGAUUUCAGUAAUAAAGUGACAGUCUUGCCGUAAUAUACGGAUGGCCUUUAAUUCAAGCCUGUUAGCGUGCCAAGGGGCGCUUGUUUCAGGCUUUAUUUACACCCUUGCAGCGCUGCCUGGCAUGCAGGGCUCCACGGUGAAUCAGACCAGAAGAUUUGGAUAAAAGGUUUGAAAUGCCAAAAGCUCUUAAAGUUGCUCAGGCAGUGUUUAAAGUACUCAACUGUGAACUUGUGUGGGAUGCACUACUUUAGCUGCACUCAGACUUGUUGUCAUCAAAAGGAUUGCAACUGUUGAAAUUAGAGUGUGUAAAAGUUUCAUUUUCUUCACUUCCUCCACAGCCAUAGGCCUACUCCUACUCAGCAAACUGUUUGCAUUUGAAGUUCCUUUAUGACCUCAGAGGAUUCACUUCUGUUUAUGUACAUGUGACAGCUAUGGGUUUAAGGAUAGUGUUUGGAUUUUGUCAGUACGGAGUGUUGAGACACAUGUACGGAAAUUGUUUGGAUUUUUUAUGGUUUGUACCGGCUAAUAUUAAUUUUGAUGUGGUUCUCCAUUCAGAGGAAGAUUACCUUUACAAGCUGCGCCAUCAAUCAGAAGCUCCGUUGCUUGACCUGUGAAAGACUGUAAUUAAGUUAGCCUAAUUAACUUAAUGAAGUGUCACACUUGGCUGACUUUACUAUAUCAAGUAAAUUGAAAGAAAAAUAGGCAUCAUUACUCAUCAGAUGUUCUGGUAUUUAGAGUGAAGUGGAGGGAAUGCAUUUUUCACCAACUCCUCAUCCAGCGGGAGUGGAAAACGCUAACCUUUAGCCUGGUUUUAUUCCCUCAGUGAGGCAUUAUUCAUUAGCAGUCUGAUUGGUUCAAUCAGUAUCAUUGGUGCAUUUAUGGAAUGAAGAUAAAUCCCUGAGUGUGAUUUGAAUUUGUUGGUCUCAUUCUCUUAUCUGUAUUCGAGUUUAAUCUUAAUGCCGUAAGGACCACGCGAUCAAUAAGCCCAACAGUGAGGCGCUUAAAGCAUGAUAACCUCAUCAAUGAUGGUUGUCUUUUAGAUGUGGCUAAAGUUUAACCACUGUUUAAUGUGAUUUAAAGGCGAGCGGUGGCAGCUAAACAGGGGUGGCUAGCUAAAGCAGCCUGCAGGGAGCACAGGACAUGGUCAAGGGUGGCCAGGCGGGACACCGAAGACAAAGAGAAAAUCAAUGGCUGGGAGUCACCUCAAUCACUUUAACUAGGCGCUACAGACGCCCAAUGCCCCUCUCAGGGGCCAAUUUGUGGAGUAAACAGGAGUGUGUGAUUGCUGCCGGGGUCCCCAGUGGCCCCAGCAGUCCAUUUCUCUGGACCUGGUUCAUUCUAAUAACCCUCUUAGAUAGAGUGUACAUGAGGCCACUUUCCAGACCCCUCUCAGUAUUUUAUGGCCAUAAACAGCAUAGCAGACACUGAGCAGCAGCACUACCAGCCUUCGUUAAGAUAACGUUCCCACAAGCCCCUGGCUCCUGCUGCGUGGGCAGAAAGCAUGAUAUAUUCUAAUGGCAUUCUGGGUAGGGACACAACUCCAAUAAAUAUACAUAAUAAACUAUAGUUUAACAUUUCUUUUUAUAAACCCACCUCAGUCAAACAUAGGGGGGCAUUGGAUAUACUUUGGCUUUAACUUGUGUUGAGGACACAGUGUAAUCACUGUAAUGCACAAACUUCAGGUUUACUAAACUUUGCGCAUCCAUGGGUUCAAAAACCAUAGAUAAGUCUAGUGUUGAUAAAGCCUAACCCUUACUGAAUGGAAUUAUGGUUCUAUGAUGAUGCAUGUUAACAUAAAAGGGCAUAACAUGAAAACGAAUGAGUGUAGGACUAUUCAGUUCAGUUCAUUUUUAUUUGUAUAGCGCCACUUCAUAACAGAAGUUAUCUCAGGACACUUUUCAAAUAGAGCAGGUCUAGACCGAACUCCUUAUAACAUUAUUUACAGAGACCCAACAGUACCACCAUGAGCAAGACCUUGGCGAGAAGGGCAAGGAAAAACUGCCUGUUAAAAGGCAGAAACCUAGGACAGAUCCUUCGGCUCUAGGUGGGUGGUCGUCUGUCUCGACCAGUUGGGGUGAGAGAGAGAGAGAGAGAGAGACACAGAGAGCGAGAGACAGACAGACAGGUACACAGCAACAACAGUAUUGGUAAUAGCAAUCUAGCAGGACCAUUGCAGGAGGCUCCACCAGAAUCGAUAAGAACCUGCGAGACGAGAAAGCACAAGAACUCCGGGGAAGAAGUGAAGUUAGUAACAUGCAUUAAUGGGACAUGAAUGAGUGCAGAAAGAGAGAGGAAGAGAGGAGCUCAGUGCACCAUUGGAAAUCCCCCGAUAGUCUAGGCCUAUAGCAGCAUAACUAAGGGAUGGUUCAGGACUCACCUGAUCCAGCCCUAACUAUAAGCUUUAUCAAAGAGGAAUGUCUUAAGCCUACUCUUGAAUGUGGUGAGGGUGUCUGCCUCCCGAACCACAACUGGAAGCUGGUUCCACAGGAGAGGAGCUUGGUAACUGAAGGCUCUGGCUCCUGUUCUACUUUUAGAGACUAUAGGAACCACAAGUAGCCCAGCAUUCAGAGAAC